UACGGGGGGAGCAAGCGUUGUUCGGAUUUACUGGGCGUAAAGGGCGCGUAGGCGGCCACCGCAAGUCGGUUGUGAAAUCUCUGGGCUUAACCCAGAAAGGUCAACCGAUACUGCGGGGCUAGAGUGCAGAAGGGGCAAGUGGAAUUCUCGGUGUAGCGGUGAAAUGCGUAGAUAUCGAGAGGAACACCUGCGGCGAAGGCGGGUUGCUGGGCUGACACUGACGCUGAUGCGCGAAAGCUAGGGGAGCGAACGGG
rnacentral:rRNA from 1 species